GAUGAACGCUAGCAGGAGGCUUAAUACAUGCAAGUCGAGCGGGAUCCACCUUUCGGGGUGGUGAGAGCGGCGCACGGGUGAGUAACGCGUACACGACCUACCUCUGACAAGGGGAUAGCCCUGGGAAACUGGGAUUAAUACCCUAUACGAUUCCGGAUAAUAAAGGUCUGGAAUGAAAGCUCCGGCGGUCAGAGAUGGGUGUGCGUCUGAUUAGCUAGUUGGUAGGGUAACGGCCUACCAAGGCGAUGAUCAGUAGGGGCGUGAGAGCGUGGUCCCCCACACGGGUACUGAGACACGGACCCGACUCCUACGGGAGGCAGCAGUAAGGAAUAUUGGACAAUGGGCGAAAGCCUGAUCCAGCCAUGCCGCGUGCAGGAUGACGGCCCUAUGGGUUGUAAACUGCUUUUAUAUGGGUAAGAACACUCCGAACGUGUCGGAGCUUGACGGUACCAUACGAUAAGGAUCGGCUAACUCCGUGCCAGCAG
rnacentral:rRNA from 1 species